rnacentral:rRNA from 1 species
GUGGGGAAUCUUGCGCAAUGGGCGAAAGCCUGACGCAGCCAUGCCGCGUGAAUGAUGAAGGUCUUAGGAUUGUAAAAUUCUUUCACCGGGGACGAUAAUGACGGUACCCGGAGAAGAAGCCCCGGCUAACUUCGUGCCAGCAGCCGCGGUAAUACGAAGGGGGCUAGCGUUGCUCGGAAUUACUGGGCGUAAAGGGCGCGUAGGCGGACAGUUUAGUCAGAGGUGAAAGCCCAGGGCUCAACCUUGGAAUUGCCUUUGAUACUGGCUGUCUUGAGUACGGGAGAGGUGAGUGGAACUCCGAGUGUAGAGGUGAAAUUCGUAGAUAUUCGGAAGAACACCAGUGGCGAAGGCGACUCACUGGCCCGUUACUGACGCUGAGGCGCGAAAGCGUGGGGAUCGAACAGGAUUAGAAACCCUUGUAGUCC